AGGCGGAGGAGGAGGAGGAGAGCGGGGCCGGGAGCCCAACGACCAUUGUCUGCAGCGGCCACACAAAGAGGCCGGCCGUGGCCGCGCGGGGAUCCCGGCUGGCCCAGCAGACGCCCUGCGGAGAGCACCAGACCAGCGCAGGCAGCGCAACCGGCAGACGCGUGGGGAAACUGAGGCACAGAGGGGUGAUGAGCCCCGACGUCAGUGAACUGGCGACUCCGGGGAAGCUGGUCAGCUUUGGACGUCCCGGCCCACCCCACACAUACACACUUGCCGCCGAAGGGUACCCAGUCCCUCACCACUGAGGGACCCGCAGGCCGGCUGGGCAGCCGGAGGGGGCCUCACACUGCACCUCCAUAUUGGCCCUGACACCUCCAGAACCCUCCUCAAAGGCGCUGCUGACGACUUGGACGUUGACUUUGUGGCCCAUGGCUAUUUUUAUACCAUGGGUAGUUCUCUGCCCUGACUUUUAAAUUCAUGAUUUGUUUGUUUAAAAAAACGAAAGGAAGCAC
rnacentral:lncRNA from 1 species